GAGGGUCCAGGGUUCAAGUCCCUGUU
rnacentral:piRNA from 3 species